GGGGGCGACAUGGCUUCGACGUGGGUUGCAAAGCAGCGCAGGGCAUACCGAGGACGGACCACCUCGUAAAUACAAUCCGAAUCGUUUAUAACUGCAAACGACGAAACUUACGCUCUAGCCGCUUAGUCGGUUAGACCCUACACCAGCUUGCAUACGAGUUGGGCUGAGCAAUCGGCAGUAGGGUAAUCUCAGUAUGCUCGCGGUAAUCAGGGUUACUUUGAUUACUGUUAAAACCAAGGUGACUCGCUUGUUUCCAGCCUGUUUGGUGGGCGUGAAACAGGUCAAAGCCAAAUCACCAAACUAAGUAUGUAGAACUGUCUGUGGAGUGCUUGCGGACGGGGGUUCGAUCCCCCCCGCCUCCACCA
rnacentral:tmRNA from 1 species